UGCCACAGCCAUAUCACCCUGCAGCCCAAGACUGGUUGCCCACUGAAGCUAAGCAGGGUUGAGCCUGGUCAGUACCUGGAUGGGAGACCUCCUGGGAAAACUAGGUUGCUGCUGGAA
ensembl:rRNA 5S_rRNA 5S ribosomal RNA